CUGGAGUGCAAUGGUGUGAUCUCAGCUCACUGCAGCCUCAACCUCCCUGGCUCAGGUGAUUCUCCCACCUCAGCUUCCUGAUUAACUGGGAUUACAGAACCAGAUUGAAGUUCAUCCCAGCUCUCAGCCAGAUCCUCCUGCUUCAGAUUAAGCGGAGCUGGGAAAGGACGAUCCAUGUCCAGCCCUCCCCAGGAGAGCAGUGUCACCAUCAUUUCGAAGAGCCUCCAUGUCUCUCAUGGUUUGAGGUUUGGAAACGAG
rnacentral:lncRNA from 1 species